rnacentral:lncRNA from 1 species
AUGGAUUCCAGGACAAAAUACCAAAAUCCAGCGGAUUCCAGCCCAAAAUCCCAAAUCCCGUCAGAUUCCGACCCAAAAUCGAAGCUUUUGGGGUUGAAAUUUCAAAAUCCAGUGGAUUCCACCCUGACGUUCCAACUAUCGACAGAUUCUGACCCCAAAUCCAAAAUCUCAACGGAUUCUGACCCAAAAUCUGAAUUUUUGGGGUUGAAAUUUCAAAUUCCAGCAGAUCCUAGGACAAAAUCCCCAAAUCCAGCAGAUUCCAGCCUGGAAUUCCAAAUAUCGACGGAUUCUGACCCAAAAUCCCAAAACACAUCGGGAAUUCCUGGGAGGAGCAGCAGGAGGAGGAAAAUCCCAGCGGGAAACGCCCGAAAAUCCCAAAAAAUGGGAAAAUUCCAGCCUGGAAAUGAUGAAAAUCCUGAAAAUCCCCAAAAUUCACCAGAAACUCCUCAAAUUCCUGUGGAAAAUUUGGGAAUUCCGGCCAAAAAAUGCAGGAAUUCGGACGAUUUAUGGGAAAAUUCCCAGGUUUCAGCAGGAACCUCUGGGAAUCCCCAAAAUACGUUGGGAAAUUCGGAAAUUUUGGGGGGAAAUUCUGGAGAUUCCCACGUUUUAUUGGGAAACUCCCCAAAUUCCCAAACUUCAUCAGAAAAUCCCCAAAUCCCCUCGGAUUUCUCCAAAUCCCCAGAUUUCCAAAAUCCCCCAGAAGAUCUCCCGGAAAAUUUCCAAAAAAAUUUUUCCGAGUUCCAAAAUCUCAAAAAAAAUUCCCAGGAAAAUUUCCCUGAAAUCCCGAAUUUUCCCGAGUCCCCGAAGGUCCCAAAUCGCCCGGAAUUUCCCCCAAACUCCCCCAAUUUCCCCCUGCCCGGCCUGGCCGGGGUCCUGGCGCGGCUGCGGGUCCCGAUCCGCGCCCCCGCCGGCUCCUGGCGCUGCUGUCGCGAUAGGGGCAGCGAUGGCCGCGAUAAGGGCGGCUCCUGUCGCGAUAGGGGCGGCUCCCGUCGCGAUCCCGGCCGCUGCCGCCGCUGCUGUCGCGGCUCCUGUCGCGAUAGGCGGCGCGGGGGGGCGGGGCUGACCCUGCAGGCCACGGUGGACGCGCGCGGCUGCCUCUGGAACGUGGAGUUCCCGCGCGCCGGGGCGGGCGUGCGGCGCUCGGCGCUGUUCCGGAGCAUGGAGCGGGCGGCGCGAAACGGGGACAGAAACCGCGGAAAUGGGAAAAAACCCGACGGU